rnacentral:rRNA from 1 species
UACGGAGGAUCCAAGCGUUAUCCGGAUUUAUUGGGUUUAAAGGGUGCGUAGGUGGCUUUUUAAGUCAGGGGUGAAAGACGGUAGCUUAACUAUCGCAGUGCCUUUGAUACUGAAGAGCUUGAAUGAACUAGAGGUAGGCGGAAUGUGACAAGUAGCGGUGAAAUGCAUAGAUAUGCCACAGAACACCAAUUGCGAAGGCAGCUUACUAUGGUUUUAUUGACACUGAGGCACGAAAGCGUGGGGAUCAAACAGG